GGCGAACGCUGGCGGCGUGCCUUAGACAUGCAAGUCGAGCGGAGUAUUUAGGUUUACUUAGAUACUUAGCGGCGGACGGGUGAGUAACGCGUGAGCAACCUGCCUUACACAGGGGAAUAGCCUCGGGAAACUGGGAUUAAUGCCCCAUGACGUAUCUUGGUCGCAUGGCGAGGAUACCAAAGUGAAAGCGGUGUAAGAUGGACUCGCGUCUGAUUAGCUAGUUGGUGGGGUAACGGCCUACCAAGGCAACGAUCAGUAGCCGGCCUGAGAGGGUGAACGGCCACACUGGAACUGAGACACGGUCCAGACUCCUACGGGAGGCAGCAUG
rnacentral:rRNA from 1 species